rnacentral:rRNA from 1 species
GACGAACGCUGGCGGCGUGCCUAAUACAUGCAAGUCGAACGCUGAAGGAGGAGCUUGCUUCUCUGGAUGAGUUGCGAACGGGUGAGUAACGCGUAGGUAACCUGCCUGGUAGCGGGGGAUAACUAUUGGAAACGAUAGCUAAUACCGCAUAAUAGUAGAUGUUGCAUGACAUUUGCUUAAAAGGUGCAAUUGCAUCACUACCAGAUGGACCUGCGUUGUAUUAGCUAGUUGGUGGGGUAACGGCUCACCAAGGCGACGAUACAUAGCCGACCUGAGAGGGUGAUCGGCCACACUGGGACUGAGACACGGCCCAGACUCCUACGGGAGGCAGCAGUAGGGAAUCUUCGGCAAUGGACGGAAGUCUGACCGAGCAACGCCGCGUGAGUGAAGAAGGUUUUCGGAUCGUAAAGCUCUGUUGUAAGAGAAGAACGAGUGUGAGAGUGGAAAGUUCACACUGUGACGGUAUCUUACCAGAAAGAGACGGCUAACUACGUG